rnacentral:lncRNA from 1 species
CUUUGCUUGCUACUCGCUUUUGAGUUGCUACAUUGAUAUUGUAGUAAACAUACCAGUAAAGCUAGGAUCACUCCUUGGUUUUCUCGUUCCUUAUAAUUCUUAUGUUGUACAAAAUUAUUAGAAAUCUGUUGCUGAUCCUUUCAAAAUUGUUCUUUGCAGUGAAGCUAGGAUCAUGCUGUUCUGCUAAUCAGUAAGCUAUAUCUUGUUUGGUUUCCAUUUCUAAUUUUUGAAGUCAUUUAUGAAAUUCAGUGUAACCUCUCUAAUGGUAAAACAUUAGCACACUACUUUAUACACCC